rnacentral:piRNA from 1 species
UAAGAAACACUGAGAUGAUCUCCUUAACAU